rnacentral:tRNA from 1 species
GUGUUUUUAGUAUAUGAAGUACACCUACCUUCCAAGUAGGAAGAUUAAUUAUCAUAAAAAACACA